rnacentral:rRNA from 1 species
AUUGAACGCUGGCGGCAGGCCUAACACAUGCAAGUCGAACGAGUGGCGGACGGGUGAGUAAUGUCUGGGAAACUGCCUGAUGGAGGGGGAUCACUACUGGAAACGGUAGCUAAUGCCGCAUACCAUCAGAUGUGCCCAGAUGGGAUUAGCGUGUUGGUGGGGUAACGGCUCACCAAGGCGACGCUCCCUAGCUGGUCUGAGAGGAGGACCAGCCAGACGGUAACUGAGACACGGUCCAGACUCCUACGGGAGGCAGCAGUGGGGAAUAUGGCACAAGGGGCGGAAGCCUGAUGAAGCCAUGCCGAGUGAAUGAAGAAGGCCUGCGGGUUGUAAAGUACUUUCAGCGGGGAGGCGUUACCCGCAGAAGAAGCACCGGCUAACUCCGUGCCAGCAGCCGCGGUAAUUC